rfam:Oryza meridionalis cultivar OR44 (W2112) chromosome 4, whole genome shotgun sequence.
AAUAAGCGCAACCAUAAGUUUCCGUGUUCAAUUUUAAUUGUCCGUCUUAUUUAAAUUUUUUAUAAUUAGCAUUUUAUUGUUAUGAGAUGAUAAAAUAUAAAUAGUACAUGAUUUAUAUUUUUAAUUUUUUUAAAAAAAAAUUUUAAAUAAGACUAACGAUCGAAGUCCGGUCAAGGACGGCGCAGACCCAGUCACC